rnacentral:rRNA from 1 species
CCUACGGGAGGCUGCAGUGAGGAAUAUUGGUCAAUGGUCGGGAGACUGAACCAGCCAAGCCGCGUGAGGGAUGAAGGUACAGAGUAUCGUAAACCUCUUUUGUCAGGGAACAAAGGCGGGGACGUGUCCCCGGAUGAGUGUACCCGAAGAAAAAGCAUCGGCUAACUCCGGGCCAGCAGCCGCGGUAAUACGGAGGAUGCGACCGUUAUCCGGAUUUAUUGGGUUUAAGGGGUGCUCAGGCGGUCUGUUAAGUCAGCGUGCAAAGCCCGGGGCUCACCCACGGCCCGCCGUUGAAACUGGCAGUCGUGAGUUGGAGAGAAGUAAGCGGAAUGCGGGGUGUAGCGGGGAAAUGCAUAGAUAU